GGCCGAUGACGAGAACGGCGUUCCGAACCGGCGUGGCGGCCGGUGAUGACGAACCCUAUGAGUGCCGAGGCC
rnacentral:snoRNA from 1 species